CCUCAAUUUUCGAACUAUAUGAAGUCUAAAGCCAAUAUUUAUGUUGGGUGUGGUUUAAUUUUUUCUGGGUUUUCAUUUUUGUAUUUUGUACUGUUAAGGAUUUUUUGAAUUUAGAGGUUUGAGCUGUGAUUCACUUGCGUAACUUUGUGACUAAGCUUUUGUUUUAUAUUAUUGUUCGGAGAUUUACACUUCUAUUGUUACUCGUUCAAUUUUUUCUACUCGUUUUGUUUAAAUUUUUCCUGCAUGCUCGAUUUGUUCGUUGUGCUUAAAAAUUAAUCAAUUUCAAGCCUGAAUCUUUCGAUUUCUCUAUUUUGUUUUGUUCAAAAAUUUUCUGUUUGCUUGAUUUUCGCUGUGUUUAAGGUUAAGCAAUUUUAGUUGAGAUUUUCUUUUCGUUCUUCAUUUUCCGUCUCUUCUUGUGUAUGUUUGUUCCAUUUCUUCUACGUUUAUCUAUAUUUGCUCGAUUACUUCUUUGUGAUUAUGGUUUAUCAAUUUUGACACUGACUUUUUGUUAUAUUUAGUUAUGUCCUCUUAUUUUGUGUCUUUUUUCUGUUUCUUUUAUCUCUAUUUGCUUGAUUACUUCUUCUCUGUGUUUAAGGUGUAAUAAUUUCCAGUCAGAUUUUAUGGUUGAAAGAAGGUAUUAUUGCAAGGAUGCAAAUGAAUUAGAACUUAGUAUUUAUUAUUUUUUGUGUAACAUUGUUUGCUUAUUUACUACUCUUGAAAAUUUCGUGACUUAUUUGACAUGGUUCAAUUAUAAUCCAACUGAAAAGUUUCCCUUACGUCCAUUAGUGUACAAUUAGAUAGUUAUUUACCUUUUAUUUUUUGCUCUUUUUUGUAAGAUGGCACUAUAGCUAACAUUGAAUUCAUACAAUUGGGAGUAUUAGUAGAAAGAAUUCCUUUUGUUGCCUAUAUUACCACUUCAUUGGCACUCUACAUAAUUCUUUCUUUUGUUGCUUGUGUUAGUUUAACAUUAGCAAAGGACCUCCAUUGACAAAAAAAAAAAAACAUAGGGAAAUUUGUUAUAUUACCAAACUAUUAGUAAAUUGUGGUUACUUCUAGCUUGAAGUCGUUAUGACAUGAAUUAGAUUGUGCCUGAGUAUUCUUAAAUGUUCCUUUUCUCGAAACUAAGUCAAGGCUCGAGUUUUAAUGGUAAAAUAAGUAAUUUACUUUGUGAAAAGAGCAAGUUGAAUAAUAAAAGAAGUAAUUACAUGUUUGGCAAAUAAAUAACUAUGUGACUAUCUAGCACACAUAUACUUGAAGUCGUUACCACAUAUGUACUUAACCAUAUGUUCAAUGUCAAGGGUUGCCUACUGGUUCGUCAAUCUUUCUUUGACAAUAAUUUGAGGAACUUCACUAACGUUGGAGGAGGAGUUCUUGGAUGUCGAGGAUUCCACUCGAGUUUUCGAACCUCCCAUGUACGCUUGUCUUUGAACAUAGGGGGGAAAAAAAAGAAAGAAAGAAAGAACAAGAACACAUUUGCAAUUAUUCAAGAUAUGUUGAUUUGUCAUGGUGGCACUAUUACAAAUAUGUGCAGUAACUCGAUCAUUCAAGUUGAAUAUGGAGUUAACAUUGCCAAUAUUACAAAUAAUUUUACCAUUGGUGACCGUGAGAGAGUUUUAGUUCCAAUUACCAUUCACAUCAUGCAUACAAAACUGUUGUUGAUUUUUACUGGAGUACUAACUCUUCUUAGGAGAUUAUGAAGGGUCAAUUCCAAAAAUUAUACAUCUCACAAAUGAAUAAUACCACAUGUAAUUGAUUGUAGCUGUGUGAGAAAGCACCGCCAUGAGAAGUUUGCAAGCAUGGAAGAUUUAGUUGACAAAAUUCGGUCUUAAGAUGCAUCAGUCUUGGCAUAGGCUCGUCCUUCUGGAUCAACGCUGUAGUAUGCUGUUUAGUCAAAGUUUCCUUACUCUGGUUCAGUCAAAGUUUCCUUACUCUGGCUUCCUGGUAUAUAUGUGUAUUUACAUCUAUAUAUGUCUCAGGUGAGAGUUUUGGAUUUUUGAGUAUGAAUUUGUUGAAGUUAUUGCUAUAUUGUAGAGGAAUCAGAAAAUCCUUGUAUACAUCUAUUGCUGAACAAAGCAUAAGAUAUAUUUUUUUCACGUACCAUAAUCUCAUGAUCGAUGAUAUUACUUGAGA